rnacentral:rRNA from 1 species
GAUGAACGCUGGCGGCGUGCCUAAUACAUGCAAGUCGAGCGAACUUUUGGGAGCUUGCUCCCAAAAGUUAGCGGCGGACGGGUGAGUAACACGUGGGUAACCUGCCUGUAAGACUGGGAUAACUUCGGGAAACCGGAGCUAAUACCGGAUAACAUUUAAUACCACAUAGCCUUCAAUUAAAAGGUGGCUUUUAGCUACCACUUACAGAUGGACCCGCGGCGCAUUAGCUAGUUGGUGAGGUAACGGCUCACCAAGGCGACGAUGCGUAGCCGACCUGAGAGGGUGGUCGGGCAAACCGGGACUGGGACAAGGCCCAGACUCCUACGGGAGGCAGCAGUAGGGAAUCUUCCGCAAUGGACGAAAGUCUGACGGAGCAACGCCGCGGGAGCGAAGAAGGCCUUCGGGUCGUAAAGCUCUGUUGUUAGGGAAGAACAAGUAUCGUUCGAAUAGGGCGGUACCGUGACGGUACCUAACCAGAAAGCCACGGCUAACUACGUG